ACUCGAGUGGCGAACGGGUGAGUAACACGUGGGUGAUCUGCCUUGCACUUCGGGAUAAGCCUGGGAAACUGGGUCUAAUACCGGAUAGGACCAUGCUUUAGUGUGUGUGGUGGAAAGUUUUUUCGGUGCAAGAUGAGCCCGCGGCCUAUCAGCUUGUUGGUGGGGUAAUGGCCUACCAAGGCGACGACGGGUAGCCGGCCUGAGAGGGUGUACGGCCACAUUGGGACUGAGACACGGCCCAGACUCCUACGGGAGGCAGCAGUGGGGAAUAUUGCACAAUGGGCGCAAGCCUGAUGCAGCGACGCCGCGUGGGGGAUGACGGCCUUCGGGUUGUAAACUCCUUUCGCUAGGGAAGAAGCCACUGUGUGGUGACGGUACCUGGAUAAGAAGCACCGGCUAACUACGUGCCAGCAGCCGCGGUAAUACGUAGGGUGCGAGCGUUGUCCGGAAUUACUGGGCGUAAAGAGCUCGUAGGUGGUUUGUCGCGUCGUCUGUGAAAUCCCGGGGCUUAACUUCGGGCGUGCAGGCGAUACGGGCAUAACUAGAGUGCUGUAGGGGAGACUGGAAUUCCUGGUGUAGCGGUGAAAUGCGCAGAUAUCAGGAGGAACACCGAUGGCGAAGGCAGGUCUCUGGGCAGUUACUGACGCUGAGGAGCGAAAGCAUGGGUAGCGAACAGGAUUAGAUACCCUGGUAGUCCAUGCCGUAAACGGUGGGCGCUAGGUGUGGGGGUUUUAUUUACGAUUCCCGUGCCGUAGCUAACGCAUUAAGCGCCCCGCCUGGGGAGUACGCCGCAAGGCUA
rnacentral:rRNA from 1 species